AAGCGGCGGAGCAUGCGGAUUAAUUCGAUGCAACGCGAAGAACCUUACCAAGGCUUGACAUACACCGGUAACGCCCAGAGAUGGGUGCCCCUUUGUGGUCGGUGUACAGGUGGUGGCAUGGUUGUCGUCAGCCCGUGUCGUGAGAUGUUGGGUUAAGUCCCGCAACGAGCGCAACCCUCGUCCUAUGUUGCCAGCGGGUCAUGCCGGGGACUCAUGGGAGACUGCCGGGGUCAACUCGGAGGAAGGUGGGGAUGACGUCAAAUCAUCAUGCCCCUUAUGUCUUGGGCUUCACGCAUGCUACAAUGGCCGGUACAAAGGGCUGCGAUACCGCGAGGUGGAGCGAAUCCCAGAAAGCCGGUCUCAGUUCGGAUUGGGGUCUGCAACUCGACCCCAUGAGGUCGGAGUCGCUAGUAAUCGCAGAUCAGCAACGCUGCGGUGAAUACGUUCCCGGGCCUU
rnacentral:rRNA from 1 species